rnacentral:rRNA from 1 species
AACGUAGGACGCGAGCGUUAUCCGGAGUUACUGGGCGUAAAGCGCGGGCAGGCGGUCUGACAAGUCUGAUGUGAGAUCUCCGGGCUCAACCGGGAGAGGCCAUUGGAAACUGACAGGCUGGAGGGCAGUAGAGGUAGGCGGAAUUCCGGGUGGAGUGGUGAAAUGCGUAGAGAUCCGGAGGAACACCAGAGGCGAAGGCGGCCUACUGGGCUGCACCUGACGCUGAGCCGCGAAAGCCAGGGGAGCGAACGGG